rnacentral:tRNA from 1 species
UCUUCUCUGGUAUAUCGGUAGAACAUCACCCUGUCACUUGUGCGCCCGCCUGGGAGUAUGACCCACGGUGAAGAGCUGGGUUCGACUCCCAGGAGGAGAG